AGUGGCCUUUCACGUGAAGGAGCACUGCAGCAGCCAGGAGUGGGCCCUGUUGAGCCACUGCCCCGAAGCCCUCCAGCCACUGCACAGCCUGCAGCUGGCCCUGGCGGAGUGAGAACCAGCUACCAACCCCGGGUGCAGCGCCGGUCGCGAGGCCCUCGUCGGGUGUCCCACCGGGACGCCUUGGUCGAACGGCUCGCGGACGACUACGCCAGAACCGUCGCACAGAACGACGAGACAAACGAAGUGCGUGUGCCCUUGCCUGCUUUAUAUGGUGGAGCGUAAUAGAAUGACAGUAGACAGGUGUAACAUUUUUUUAGCAAUUUGAUGAGCUGCACAGGUCACUAACUCACAUACAUGGCUAACACGUGUUUCAAUAGCUGAACUGAAAAAAAAAGACUAAGGGAGACGGACGAGAACAUCAUCAUACAUUACGUACAUGGUCAUAAACACGGUCACUUGCAAUCAUUAACACAAUGUAACAGCUUCAAACACAGUAAUCACUGCCAUUAGCAUUUCUGCAACAGGCAAUAACUGGGUGGACUAGACAACAGGGACACUUGCAAUCAAUCACACAAUAACAGCUUCAUACAUUCCUAUUUCCACUAAAGCUCUUUCUUUUGAGCAGUUUCAUAGACAUGGCAAGUUGCCUGUAAUUAAAUCACUCGUUUUAGAACACUGCCUCAUAUGACUUACUCGUUUCAAACCUUGGCCGCCCACCUUCAAGUAUUACCUAAUGAAUUUUUCCGCAUAUGCUGUAAUUGCACCACACACAUCGGAUUGCGCAUGCUGAUUGUGAUAGUUCUCCCCCAUCACACAAAAAUAUUCAUGUCUGAAACAUUUUUCCCAAGGCAGCGGCGUAAAUUGAGUGGCAUAUGUAAAACACCUAAAAUGCUCUGGGCCCUUCAUCUUCAUAAUUAUUUGCAAAGGCGGCAGCUAACUCACAGUUCAAAUUUAGCUUGCACAUCGCCGUAAAGUUUCCUUUAUUUUGACGCACUUAGAAACACUAUAGCUUGCAUAGUUCAUUGAGGACGAUGGAGAACACAAACCUCAAUAAACUAUUGAAACAUAAAAAAGGAGAACACUGUUGAUUAAUGAGUUGCAAUGGUUGUAAUUAAGGCAGUAAGAGGAAAACUUUGCCACACAAUACACUCAGGACUGUGGCUAUUUCCACAAAGUUUGAAGUUGCUAACUUGUUCUGGAAGGCUGGGAAACAUCACAUAUAAUGGCAGUGCGACAGCUUGCAAUGCUUGAAUAACAAUUUAUAUACAGGGUCCAAUACAUGCUUUUGCAACAAAAUGCAACAUAGGGCCUAGCAUUCUUUGCUACAGUGAUACAUGUCAAGGUCGCUUGCUCAUUUGCAAUCCCAAACUUAUUGCUAUGCCAUCUGUUAACUUUCCGGCGGCUCGACAGCAUAAAAGUACAUAUGGUAUUGAUAUUUCUUUGCACAACUACAUGAAAACCAACAACAAAAAACAGAUACAAUGGUGCAGACAGACAACAACAUAGAAAGUGUUUGUCCUUGUCCCCAUAACUAAUGAACAUAUGGUAAUCUGAAUGAGCAUACAUGCAGUUGAGCGCCUUUAUACCUAAAGUGCUUGGGACCACCAAAAUCAUCCGUUUUACAGCUCACUUUGUAAACAUUGUGCACAGCACG